GAUGAAGAACGUAGCGAAAUGCGAUAAGUAAUGUGAAUUGCAGAAUUCAGUGAAUCAUCGAAUCUUUGAACGCACAUUGCGCCCGCCAGUAUUCUGGCGGGCAUGCCUGUUCGAGCGUCAUUUCAACCCUCAGGCCCCCAGUGCCUGGCGUUGGGGAUCGGCGCGGCGCCCUCCGGGGCGCUGCCGGCCCCGAAAUUCAGUGGCGGUCUCGCUGUAGCCCUCCUCCGCGUAGUAGCACAACCUCGCGGCCUGGAGCUCGGCGGUGGCCAUGCCGUAAAACACCCCACUUCUGAAAGUUGACCUCGGAUCAGGUAGGAAUACCCGCUGAACUUAAGCAUAUCAAUAAGCGGAGA
rnacentral:misc_RNA from 1 species